GACGAACGCUGGCGGCGUGCUUAACACAUGCAAGUCGAACGGAAAGGCCCUGCUUGCAGGGUGCUCGAGUGGCGAACGGGUGAGUAACACGUGGGUGAUCUGCCCCUUACUUUGGGAUAAGCCUGGGAAACUGGGUCUAAUACUGGAUAGGACCAUGCUGUAGGUGGUGUGGUGGAAAGAUUAGUUUCGGUAAGGGAUGAGCUCGCGGCCUAUCAGCUUGUUGGUGGGGUAAUGGCCUACCAAGGCGUCGACGGGUAGCCGGCCUGAGAGGGUGGACGGCCACAUUGGGACUGAGAUACGGCCCAGACUACUACGGGAGGCAGCAGUGGGGAAUAUUGCACAAUGGGCGCAAGCCUGAUGCAGCGACGCCGCGUGGGGGAUGACGGCCUUCGGGUUGUAAACUCCUUUCAGCCAUGACGAAGCCCUUGUGGUGACGGUAGUGGUAGAAGAAGCACCGGCUAACUACGUG
rnacentral:rRNA from 1 species